UUUAUUAGUUUUAGUUUUCCUUAGUUUUAUUUUUUUCCAGUAUUGGUGCGGCGGCUUCAUUUUUUUUUUCCAAUUUUCAUUUUCUUUCAUUAGCCUUUUCUUUCGGUUUUCAUUUUUUUGCCGGAGACUUUGCUUUCAGUGUUGGUUUCUUGUUGGGCGGACGCUGGGUAACUCUUUAGAUGAUUUUUUUUUUUUUUUUUGAUGUUUUGGCUCUAGUUUUAUAUUUUAUUUUUUUUGGCUUUCACUGUUUUUCCUUCUUCUUCAUUUUAGACUUUUCUUUCAGGCUUAGUUUUAUUUUUCAUGGGUGAGACUGUUCAGUUUCGUUUUCAUUUUUCUGGAUUUUAUUUUGGUUCUACUGGGUAGAGUUCUCAAGAUUGAUUCGAACUCAAACCCAGAACUUCACCUUUGCAUUGAAAAAAAAAAUCCAAUUAAAGUUGAUAGAAUUUGUGGCUGGAAAGCCAUGAAAAUGGACCAAAAAAGUUAAUUUACUCAGUUUAAUCCAUUUCCAGAGCUGAGGUAAAGCUGGACGGCAUUGUAGAGCUCGUUGAUGUUGACUCUGUCGAUCUCGGUGAUGUCGAAGUAGUAGUAGGAGGAGAACCAGCGGAUUGAGGGCAGUGCAAAGGGAUGAAGUGAGGAAGAGAGGGGCGGGCGGUGCAAAUGAGAAGACAAAAAGGCUACGCUACAUACGACUAUGACUCUCUGUGCCCGACCGUCGGGAAGCGUUUCUCUAUACAAAACUUUAUUGUUUCCUUUGAUCUCCUCUGAGCCUAUUCAAGUUCGUUGAGUUCAGACCAUACCACCUUAAAUAUGGAGGAUGGAGUAUAUAUAUGCUUUUUUAUGAAGCAAGAACAUUGUCGUUGCUACUGUUUGGAGCAUGCAAUAUAAAGGUGCAAACAGGUUUAGACUCAAUCGUCAUCUUGACUUCAUCAUGGCAUGGCCUGACAGUUUUCCUGGACAGAACAAAAACUCAAGUAAAAACCAUAUUGACGGAUCACAUAAAAUUGUCUUUCUUUAUCUUGGCAGUAGAUAAGUUUGUUUUAAAUUUCGAAUGCUUUUGAUUCAUGAUGGUCACUAUUACUGUUGCUAGCAUUGCGUCUCAAUGCUUGCUCAUGACCAGCUGCAAAUGAAAGCUUUACUUUGACCAUCAAUUCUCAUGGGCACAUAUAAGGGAUCUCAACUAUAUUUUGGUGUGGAUUGAGAAGGCUGGCGCGCUGCAUAGGUUGGGAUCUGCAAAGCUACUUUGGAGAAAUUGAUUAGAAAAGACUCAAGGACGGCCACGGGUAUGAUGAGGCAGUGUCUAAUUUGGAUGGAAUAAUCUUUCUCCAUAGUCAUGGGCCAGUUCUGCAGAUUACAAAGCCAUUUCACGGUUUCACCAGAAACAAAAAAAGAAAGAAUUUUUUCAUUUUGCCAUUCUGGCAGUUGUAACAAUUAGCAAUGUACCUGAAAUUCAUCCUGAUGGGAGUUUUUCUCUUAAGUUGAUGAGAGUUGUAGCAAUUCAGCUGUA